GACGAACGCUGGCGGCGUGCUUAACACAUGCAAGUCACGGGGGCUUGGGGGCGACUCUGAGCAACCGGCGAACGGGUGCGUAACACGUGAGCAACCUGCCGAUCUGUGGGGGAAUAGCCGGGACUAAACGCCCGGGUAAAUAACCGCAUACGGUUCCUGCGAGGCGUCUUGCGGGAAAGAAACCCUCUGGGGCAGAUCGAGGGGCUCGCGGCCUAUCAGCUGGUUGGGGGAGUANCCGACC
rnacentral:rRNA from 1 species